GAUGAACGCUGGCGGCGUGCCUAAUACAUGCAAGUCGAGCGAACGGACGAGAAGCUUGCUUCUCUGAUGUUAGCGGCGGACGGGUGAGUAACACGUGGAUAACCUACCUAUAAGACUGGGAUCACUUCGGGAAACCGGAGCUAAUACCGGAUAAUAUUUUGCACCGCAUGGUUCAAAAGUGAAAGACGGUCUUGCUGUCACUUAUAGAUGGAUCCGCGCUGCAUUAGCUAGUUGGUAAGGUAACGGCUUACCAAGGCAACGAUGCAUAGCCGACCUGAGAGGGUGAUCGGCCACACUGGAACUGAGACACGGUCCAGACUCCUACGGGAGGCAGCAGUAGGGAAUCUUACGCAAUGGGCGAAAGCCUGACGGAGCAACGCCGCGUGAGUGAUGAAGGUCUUCGGAUCGUAAAACUCUGCUAUUAGGGAAGAACAUAUGUGUAAGUAACUGUGCACAUCUUGACGGUACCUAAUCAGAAAGCCACGGCUAACUACGUG
rnacentral:rRNA from 1 species